UACGAAGGGGGCUAGCGUUGCUCGGAAUCACUGGGCGUAAAGCGCACGUAGGCGGCUUCUUAAGUCAGGGGUGAAAUCCUGGAGCUCAACUCCAGAACUGCCUUUGAUACUGGCGACCUUGAGUUCGGGAGAGGUGAGUGGAACUGCGAGUGUAGAGGUGAAAUUCGUAGAUAUUCGCAAGAACACCAGUGGCGAAGGCGGCUCACUGGCCCGAUACUGACGCUGAGGUGCGAAAGCGUGGGGAGCAAACAGG
rnacentral:rRNA from 1 species